GCCGCGGUAGCUCAGCUGGGAGAGCACUCGGCUGAAGACCGAGGGGUCGCUGGUUCAACUCCGGCCCGCGGCA
rnacentral:tRNA from 1 species